UUGAUAACUCGGUGUUGAGGUUUGUGUUUCGGCCGCAAAAGGGGAGUGGUUAGAACUUCUAUCAAA
rnacentral:tRNA from 1 species